ACGAACGCUGGCGGCGUGCCUAAUACAUGCAAGUAGAACGCUGAAGAGAAGAGCUUGCUCUUCUUGGAUGAGUUGCGAACGGGUGAGUAACGCGUAGGUAACCUGCCUUGUAGCGGGGGAUAACUAUUGGAAACGAUAGCUAAUACCGCAUAACAAUGGAUGACCCAUGUCAUUUAUUUGAAAGGGGCAAAUGCUCCACUACAAGAUGGACCUGCGUUGUAUUAGCUAGUAGGUGAGGUAACGGCUCACCUAGGCGACGAUACAUAGCCGACCUGAGAGGGUGAUCGGCCACACUGGGACUGAGACACGGCCCAGACUCCUACGGGAGGCAGCAGUAGGGAAUCUUCGGCAAUGGGGGCAACCCUGACCGAGCAACGCCGCGUGAGUGAAGAAGGUUUUCGGAUCGUAAAGCUCUGUUGUAAGUCAAGAACGAGUGUGAGAGUGGAAAGUUCACACUGUGACGGUAGCUUACCAGAAAGGGACGGCUAACUACGUG
rnacentral:rRNA from 1 species